AAGAACCUUACCAAAUCUUGACAUCCUUUGAAAACUCUAGAGAUAGAGCCUUCCCCUUCGGGGGACAAAGUGACAGGUGGUGCAUGGUUGUCGUCAGCUCGUGUCGUGAGAUGUUGGGUUAAGUCCCGCAACGAGCGCAACCCUUAAGCUUAGUUGCCAUCAUUAAGUUGGGCACUCUAGGUUGACUGCCGGUGACAAACCGGAGGAAGGUGGGGAUGACGUCAAAUCAUCAUGCCCCUUAUGAUUUGGGCUACACACGUGCUACAAUGGACAAUACAAAGGGCAGCUAAACCGCGAGGUCAUGCAAAUCCCAUAAAGUUGUUCUCAGUUCGGAUUGUAGUCUGCAACUCGACUACAUGAAGCUGGAAUCGCUAGUAAUCGUAGAUCAGCAUGCUACGGUGAAUACGUUCCCGGGUCUUGUACAC
rnacentral:rRNA from 1 species